AUUGAACGCUGGCGGCAAGCCUAACACAUGCAAGUCGAACGAGUGGCGGACGGGUGAGUAAUGUCUGGGAAUCUGCCUGAUGGAGGGGGAUAACUACUGGAAACGGUAGCUAAUACCGCAUACCAUCGGAUGUGCCCAGAUGGGAUUAGCUUGUAGGUGGGGUAAAGGCUCACCUAGGCGACGAUCCCUAGCUGGUCUGAGAGGAUGACCAGCAACAUGGGAACGGAGACACGGUCCAGACUCCUAGGGGAGGCAGCGGUGGGGAAUAUUGGACAAUGGGCGAAAGCCUGCUGCAGCCAGGCGGGGGGUAUGAAGAGGUCCUUCGGGUUGUAAAGUACUUUCAGCGGGGAGGCGGUACCCGCAGAAGAAGGACCGGCUAACUCCGUGCCAGCAGCCGCGGUAAUAC
rnacentral:rRNA from 1 species